rnacentral:rRNA from 1 species
UAAGGAAUAUUGGUCAAUGGAGGAAACUCUGAACCAGCCAUGCCGCGUGAAGGAUGAAGGUCCUCUGGAUUGUAAACUUCUUUUAUAGGGGGCGAAAAAAGGGAAAUCUUUCUCACUUGACAGUACCCUAUGAAUAAGCACCGGCUAACUCCGUGCCAGCAGCCGCGGUAAUAUGGAGGGUGCAAGCGUUAUCCGGAUUCACUGGGUUUAAAGGGUGCGUAGGCGGGCGUAUAAGUCAGUGGUGAAAUCCUGGAGCUUAACUCCAGAACUGCCAUUGAUACUAUAUGUCUUGAAUAUGGUGGAGGUAAGCGGAAUAUGUCAUGUAGCGGUGAAAUGCAUAGAUAUGACAUAGAACACCUAUUGCGAAGGCAGCUUACUACGCCUAUAUUGACGCUGAGGCACGAAAAGCGUGGGGAUCAAACAGGAUUAGAUACCCUGGUAGUCCACGCCCUAAACGAUGAUUACUCGACGUGUGCGAUAAACGGUACGCGUCUGAGCGAAAGCAUUAAGUAAUCCACCUGGGAAGUACGACCGCAAGGUUGAAACUUAAAGGAAUUGACGGGGUCAUAGCUGUUUCCUG